AGGCACAGCUGCGUAACACUUCUCCACGUGUGUUUUUUCCGAGCUAAGGGGAGAUAUAAAGGACACACCCUGUCCUGCCCUAAUCAUUCUUGAAGCUGUUGUGCGAUCGAAUAUUUAGUCUCUUUCGAGCAUUUUGUCUUUUCAGGAAACAAAGUCAGGCUCAUUGCUAAGAUGAAGUUCACCUCUGCCACCUUGCUCCUUGCAGUACUAGCAGCGUUCCUCGCCGUGAUGACUGCAGCACAGGAGAGAACCGAUAAAUCGGUCAGCCAAUGCCAAAUUGGCAGCGGAUGCCCAGACCCCGUCGCCUGCACUAAAAGCUGCAAGGACAAGGGUAUAGCAUUAGGCCUAUGCGUUGGGCUAGUGGGGCUGAAAACCUGUCUGUGCCUACUCUAAAUGUGGCUGAAGUCCUCGGAUCUCUGGCAAGACCUCGCUACACGUGGGCUCAAUAAAUGUAUCCUGCUUGCUGUCUUACAUUGAAAAA